AGUCGAACGAUGAAGCUUUUAGCUUGCUAGAAGUGGAUUAGUGGCGCACGGGUGAGUAAGGUAUAGUUAAUCUGCCCUACACAAGAGGACAACAGUUGGAAACGACUGCUAAUACUCUAUACUCCUGCUUAACACAAGUUGAGUAGGGAAAGUUUUUCGGUGUAGGAUGAGACUAUAUAGUAUCAGCUAGUUGGUAAGGUAAUGGCUUACCAAGGCUAUGACGCUUAACUGGUCUGAGAGGAUGAUCAGUCACACUGGAACUGAGACACGGUCCAGACUCCUACGGGAGGCAGCAGUAGGGAAUAUUGCGCAAUGGGGGAAACCCUGACGCAGCAACGCCGCGUGGAGGAUGACACUUUUCGGAGCGUAAACUCCUUUUCUUAGGGAAGAAUUCUGACGGUACCUAAGGAAUAAGCACCGGCUAACUCCGUGCCAGCAGCCGCGGUAAUACGGAGGGUGCAAGCGUUACUCGGAAUCACUGGGCGUAAAGGGCGCGUAGGCGGAUUAUCAAGUCUCUUGUGAAAUCUAAUGGCUUAACCAUUAAACUGCUUGGGAAACUGAUAGUCUAGAGUGAGGGAGAGGCAGAUGGAAUUGGUGGUGUAGGGGUAAAAUCCGUAGAUAUCACCAAGAAUACCCAUUGCGAAGGCGAUUUGCUGGAACUCAACUGACGCUAAGGCGCGAAAGCGUGGGGAGCAAACAGGAUUAGAUACCCUGGUAGUCCACGCCCUAAACGAUGUACACUAGUUGUUGGGGUGCUAGUCAUCUCAGUAAUGCAGCUAACGCAUUAAGUGUACCGCCUGGGGAGUACGGUCGCAAGAUUAAAACUCAAAGGAAUAGACGGGGACCCGCACAAGCGGUGGAGCAUGUGGUUUAAUUCGAAGAUACGCGAAGAACCUUACCUGGGCUUGAUAUCCUAAGAACCUUAUAGAGAUAUGAGGGUGCUAGCUUGCUAGAACUUAGAGACAGGUGCUGCACGGCUGUCGUCAGCUCGUGUCGUGAGAUGUUGGGUUAAGUCCCGCAACGAGCGCAACCCAUGUAUUUAGUUGCUAACGGUUAGGCCGAGCACUCUAAAUAGACUGCCUUCGUAAGGAGGAGGAAGGUGUGGACGACGUCAAGUCAUCAUGGCCCUUAUGCCCAGGGCGACACACGUGCUACAAUGGCAUAUACAAUGAGACGCAAUACCGCGAGGUGGAGCAAAUCUAUAAAAUAUGUCCCAGUUCGGAUUGUUCUCUGCAACUCGAGAGCAUGAAGCCGGAAUCGCUAGUAAUCGUAGAUCAGCCAUGCUACGGUGAAUACGUUCCCGGGUCUUGUACUCACCGCCCGUCACACCAUGGGAGUUGAUUUCACUCGAAGCCGGAAUACUAA
rnacentral:rRNA from 1 species